ACCGUGUUCUUCGACAUCACGGCCGAUGACG
rnacentral:misc_RNA from 1 species